CUUGCUCAUGUGAGCUCUCUCUCUCAAACGAAUGAAUGAACAAAUGAAUAAAUAAACAUCUGCGUUAUGUAUGUCCAGGCCUGAAGUCCAUCAGCCAAGACUUAUUUUGGUGAAUCAAAGGAGCAAAAAUCUGGCAGUUUCCAGUUGCAGUGCGGGCUAUCCAAUGUACCCUGUUUUAAAAUCCACCGUUCAAAAUCAACAAAUGCAGAAUAAAAGUUGGGACUUGACUGCCUUUAUUUAGCCUGACGACCGCAAUGCUUGAAGCAGUCUUUUGACCUGGUAAGUGACCGAAGCACAAAUUAUAUGGGUCUUCUUAGUUUACCCUCUUGAUUUCACACAGGCUGCCUCU